CCAUUCAUGUUCAGAUGGAGGGCUAUUUGACAAGGACAAGGAUGGCGAGGGAGGGAGUUAUUUUCAUAUGAAGACCUCACAAAGUUGUUAACAGUUCAAAAGGAAAGCUAAUCCAUACAGUGUGCUGCAAUCAACUCUUAUCUGGGCAAUCCCUGGCCUCCCGCAGACCUAGCAGCAAUUGGAGAUUGACACAGGCAAGAGCUGGACCAUUGACUCCUUCAGAGCUGAAUCAACUGUGUGCACCUUUGCUCUGAAGUCCUUCGGGCCGAUCUUCCAUUGGAAACUGCUAGUGGGACGCUGGUGCUGCCUGGUCCAGGCCCUCAUGCUGAACAGUUGUGGUGCACCAGAAACUGCCAAUGGUGUGUAUGAGAGCUGUAAGGAGUCAGGAUUUGGUCUAACGGGAGUUUUAACAAUGUGGUGCACAUGAAGUAUGGACUUCAGGUUUGGUCAAAGCAUUCACAGAAAUAAAACCAUGGAUUUAGUGAUUAGUAGAAUGGGUUGCAGUUUGUAUGUGGUGAGGGAUGUAUAUCUGACACGUCAUGUGCCACCAUAAAACCAUUAGAGUAAAAACGGUGCAGUAGGCUUCUAAAAAUGUCCACAAUUGUCUUUGA